rfam:Armatimonadetes bacterium CSP1-3 XT14_C0004, whole genome shotgun sequence.
UUCCGAACGGGCAAACCCGCCGCGAGGCGGGGGCGCAAAGCGCUGGGACUUCGGAUGAAGUCCGCCAGGCUGCCGAAG